rnacentral:tRNA from 2 species
GCCGAGAUGGUGAAACUGGUAGACACGCACGUUUCAGGGGCGUGUGGCCGCAAGGCUGUGUGGGUUCGACUCCCACUCUCGGCA